AGAGGUAAACAGGUGGAGUUGAACUGUAUACUCCGUGAAUUCAGCUGGUGUGGAUAUUUUGGGCUUGGUCAAAUGGGUUAGACACUGAGGUAUACUGAGCUGUAUGUCCCAGUCAGUUUGGUUGGGAUGCACGCUACGCUGAUCAUGCGUUGUGCGCCUCAGUUGUUUAUCUGCCCCCACACCAGUGCAAUUUCACGGGGUGAUCACCACGACCGGCGUUGCUGCCUGGCUGUUUUGGUCAAACUGCCCUUUCACCGUCCAUGUGGCGUUGUUUGGUCGGGAUGGCAGGUAACUCGUUAGCUUGCUUCAGUUUGCUCUCGGGUGUUUUCAGCUGGCCAAACUGGAACUGUGCAGUACGUCGGAGAUAUCGGCUCGUUGUGCGUACCCGCGUAUCCUAUAUUCCAGAGGAUCCUGGUUUGAUUAUUGUAUUGCCUAUUCAGACAGGUCCAGUAGUAUCCAGGUUCUUAUUGGUUAUUGGUUGCGUGGGCGGCACCAUGAAAGGCCAAAAGUCUGUGGUGUUGUGGUAGACUAUCCACCUGACCCGUCUUGAAACACGGACCAAGGAGAGUAACAUGUGCGCGAGUCAUUGGGCAUUACGAAACCCAAAGGCAGAGUGAAAGUGAAGGUCUGACGGUUUGUACAGACUAUGGUGAGAUCCUGUCGUUUCUCACACGUGGCACCGCCAAGCAAUAUAGAGAGCGACAGGCGCAUCACCGGCCCGCCCCAUGGCGUAGACAUGGUCAUUUUGUACUCGUGCAUCGUCGGGGCGGAGCAUGAGCGCACUUGUUGAGACCCGAAAGAUGGUGAACUAUGCUUGCGCAGGUUGAAGCCAGAGGAAACUCUGGUGGAGGACCGCAGCGAUUCUGACGUGCAAAUCGAUCGUCAAACGUGAGUAUAGGGG
rnacentral:rRNA from 1 species